rnacentral:rRNA from 1 species
UACAGAGGGUGCGAGCGUUAAUCGGAAUUACUGGGCGUAAAGCGCGCGUAGGCGGCUUUGCAAGUCGGGUGUGAAAUCCCCAGGCUUAACCUGGGAACUGCAUUCGAGACUGCAUUGCUAGAGUAUGGGAGAGGGAAGUGGAAUUCCCAGUGUAGCGGUGAAAUGCGCAGAUAUUGGGAAGAACACCAGUGGCGAAGGCGGUUCUCUGGGACGGUACUGACGCUGAGACGCGAAAGCGUGGGGAGCGAACAGG